ACUAUUAAAGAAAUAACAUGACAUACUAUUUCAAUAUACUCCAUAAUCACCAUAACAACUGAGUAUUAUUUCGAAAGCAUACAACCAUAUACACAAUAGAAAAACAUCUACUUGCCAUAAUCAUCAUCAACAAUCUUUAGAACAUACACACAAAAACUUACCACGACGUCCCAUACCGCCGGGAAGUACACGAAAGAGAGCAAAACAAAGAACUCAUCACGGCGUUCCAUACCACCGGAGAGUACACAAAAGAAUACAACUAAUAAUACCAUAAAGCACAACUACUCCAUCAAUUUAUCAAAAACCGUGGGUAGCACAACCCCGUCAUGACUCAUUACCGAAAUCCACUUCCAAGUACCCAUACCAUAAUUCAACAUAAAGAAAGCAACAUUGUCAUAGCAUAGCAUGUAAUCAUUAGUUCUAUAAUUCAUUGAUAAAUACCGCAAGGUCCAUACUAAUUAACCUUAUUUUUUUCAAAAGUCGAAAGAUUACAAGUCUUAAAAUCACUAGUCAUCAAACUGGAGAAAAAAACUACAAGUCACCCAUAGUAUAGGUUAUUCAACUAUCAUAAGGCCAUUCUUUAAUUAGCAUCAUCAUGACAUGAGUUAUCAAUUAAGGCAUCUCAACUUCACAUAUUAGGAGAUAAUUUAACUAUCCAUCAUGCAAUACUAGAUCUAUCAUCACCAAGCAUGUCACCACCUUAAGGAUUAAUUUCCAUAUUUUAAUCGAGUAAAGUCCACCAACUAGUUUACUAGGCUUCUAGGUUCCAAAUAAUAAUCAUAUAUUUUAGAAGUAGCUAAUUAUAACAUAAGCCACCUUACUAGGCAAUAUUUCAUAAUAUAACCUCUUAUUCAAGUCAAGUAUAUAUAUUAGGUUAGCCCUUGAAUUUUUAUACAAAUUUACAUAUAACACUAAGCCUUAACUCAAUAUUAGGCAUAAAUUUCCUCUAGUAGCUAGUUUAGCAUCAAAAAGGGUCACACCUCUUACAUAGUGAUUUGGAACAAGAAAUAAUUAAUAAUUUGCCAAUAGAGACCUCAUAAUUCUAGCACAUAGGUGGUUGGCCCCACACGGCCUAACCUUACAAAUAUCAAUGCAUAUAAGAAAUUUGCCCCACAUGGCAUCAAAAUGUCCGUACCUCUUCCGGAUUCACCGGGCAUCAUCACAAUAUCAACAUAUUCCGCUGAAUUCAUUGAGCAUUAUCAUAAUAUCACACAUUCCUCCGGACUCAAAUCGGGCAUCAUCAUAAUAUCACACAUUCCUUUGGACUCGAACCGGGUAUCAUCAUAAUAUCAUAUAUUUCUCCGGACUCGAACCGGGCAUCAUCAUAAUAUCACAUAUUUCUCCGGACUCAAACCGGACAUCAUCAUAAUAUCACAUAUUUCUCCGGACUCGAACCGGACAUCAUCAUAAUAUCUCAUAUUCCUUCGGAUUAACCGAGCAUCAUCAUAGUAUCAAUAAUUCCUCUGAAUUUAUCGGGCAUCAUCAUUGUAUAAAUAUUUUCCAAGACAACAACAUACACACAUAAAUGGCCCCGAAUCAAUAAACAUACACAAGUUCACAAUAAUCGAGUAAUAGAGAUGUAAGAUGCAUAAACCAUCACACUUUAUUACUAGUUAUCAUCAUGACAUGUGAGUAGAAGCAUAGCAUGAGUAUCUAGAUGACGUACACAAUUACCAUAUUUCCUUGGCUAUCCAUAACACGGCAAUAAGACAACAAUCAAGAAUACACAUUUUUCAACCAUCGACCUUAUUCAUAAACCGACGACCGGGUUUAACCCGUAUAAUCUCAAUAACAUAAUUUAGACCCUCAUCAAGUAUCUAGGUUACCAAGGAGUUACAUAGUUCAAGAUUAAGGUGGGUCAAGUCCCACUUCUAACUCCCACUAAUAGUAAAGUCACUUCUACAAGACAAACUUCUAUCCGAAUUUAGGCUAGGUUAUCUAAGUCACACCAUAAGGGCUUAUCAAUCCUUACAAAGCAUAUAGGAGAAAUCUUUUUUAAGUAUUCUUCCUAAGACAACCUAACACCAAGGUCAUCUCUUAUCUAGGCAUUUUAUAUAGGUCAAUACACUCUUAAGGAUAGAGAAGUAUACCAUUCAUGUCUACUUAGACAACUGUAAUGUUCACACACUACUCAUGAGACCACAAUUAAGCUAACCAAGGUCUUAGGCUAAGGGUCAAAUAUCAUACCUUACAAAUCUAUGGCCUAUAGGAAUUAAUAAAUCCCAAGUUUACCAUUUAAUCAACUAUCGUUUGAAUUCCCCGCCCAAUCUCCCAAGAUAUCAAUGAUUACAUUACAAACAAGCUCAAUCUAUACUACGGGUAAGCCUAACCUACCUUGAAUCCAAGCAACUCACGAACCAACGAGCUUUCCUUUUCUUUCCGAGAAGCUUCCUCUUCCAUAAGCAAUGCUAUCAAUAAUAUAAUGUAAGCAUUACAAUAAGAAUGAAAAUACCCAUUAUAGCAUCAUUAUGCCAUGGGUUUCAAAUAGACACCAAAACCUCAAUUAGGUUUCACCCUUGGAAAGGAAUUUCCAAGACCAACCAUAGACUAAUUAUCUUUAGGGAGUUAAAAACCCUCAAGAAAUUUGAGUCAAACACUUAAUUUUUAGGGAUACAAUUGACCCACAAUGAUUUAGGGUUUUGAGUCAAGAAAUAAUGAAAUUAAUAUCAAAUUAGAGGAAUUCUUACCUUGGAUCUGUAGUAAAAAGAUGGAUUACACAAGUUGUUUAAGUUUCCAAUCAACCCACAAGACCAAUUUUUGAGUCACCACUCUUUUAGGGCUUCUAGGGUUUUAAUAGAGGUGAAGAAUGCUCACAAUCUGUCAAAAGCCCCUUUUUAUAUGGUUUUAGAUGGGUCCGCAAGGUCAAAAUUUACUUUUGACCUUCUGAACUCAUUCGGACUCCUUUUUUCGCAAAUGAACUAUGUAACUCCACUAAAUUCGACAUUCCGGACGCAUUGGUGAAGUCAAAUUUUUCAUACGAGAUCAUUUAGACUACUUGUGGGUCCCACACCUAUAUUUCGAUAUUUGACUUUUUGACUAAUUGGUCGAAAUGAGCUCGGGUGCUAUGGGAUCUGAACCAAGGGUCUAUCUAUCCUAAAAUUGAUCUUACAUAGAUGUUGGCACAGUCGUGAUUUGUAUGCGAAAUUAUUUUACUGAAAUUUUGUUCAGCGGCCGUUUGGAAUCGACGAAGACUUCCAAUUAUGAAAGUGGUUCUAAAAAUCAAACGAACCAUCAGGUAACCGAACUAUCAAUUCUACCAAGUCACUAAUGACUUGGGAUGCCUAUGGAGGAGCUCUAUCGACAAAAUAAGCAAGAAUACAGCUAAUGACCUGAAGGGUCAUUACAACAUCCACUACUAAGGAACUUUCGUCGUCGAAAGUUAAAGAAAAGGAAAUACUUGAAGUCUCGAAUAGUUGAGGAUACUAGGCUCGCAUCUCCCCUCUAACCACUAAGUGGCCUCCUUCACCGGGAGGUGCUUCCAUUGAACCUUAACUACAGGAAUCUCUCUAGUACGCAACCUCCUCACAUUACUAGCAAAAAUAAGUGUGGGCUCCUCUACAAAGGUCAACUGCCCAUCUAACUAGACUGAGUCCACCUAAGCACUUGUGACGGGUUAGGAAUAUAAUUCUGCAGCAUGGAGACAUGGAAAACUGGGUGAACAGUAGCAAAGUAUGGAGGUAAAGCUAACUCAUAGGCCACCUUGCUGACUACACGUAGAAUCUCAAAAAGGACAAAACCGAUAUACACAACAUAUAAAUAGAAUGAAAACUACACCCAAGAGUCCAGAAAUUAUAUAAUGAGUUAAUGAGAAUAAUAAGGGAAAACUAUCCUGUUCAUGUCCAAGAGUCUAACAUAAUAAGACUAAGGAAGUAUCAGGGUGAACUAUCUUAUUCCAGCUACAUUCAAUAUAUGUCAAUGUUAUACCAUAUAUCCCAGGUACAUAUACGAAUAAGGAGCGAAAGAAAGAUAUAUAAUAAUACACAAGGCGAAGUAAUGACUAUACAAAAUGAACAAUGAAGGAAGGGAUAUACGAUAGUGCCAUAUCUUCAUAUAGCUAGAUAUAUAUAUAUAAAUAUAUACAUAUAAACAUAAGGUCGUCUCGAAGCAUAACCUCUAUCAUUAUAUUCUCAUUUAAGACCUCAUCAUAACACUUAUCAGAAUUUAAAUACUAUCAUACUUAGGGUUUCUAAUCCACAUGGCUAGACGUGAAAUAAUCAUACAUAAUAAUGCAAUCAUAAAAUAGGAGAGGCUGAAAACGCACCUUAAACUUUAAUACUGGAUCAAUGACCAAUUUAUCAUAAGGUAGCCAUAAUAAUGAUCAUAACAAUGAUAACAACAAUAUCAAUAACAACAUGAAUAACCAGCUACUCCGGACAACCAAAUACCUAGCCGAGCCUAUGCGUACCCUCACCACCCCAGACUCGAAAGUUCUAAUCAACACACAACAAUAUAAGGCAUAUUCUUCACCUGUAUCAAUGCAACCAUCCCAUACCGGCUGAUAAACAUAGGCACAUAUUGGUGAUAGGAGACGCGCAUGAAGGAAUGAAUGCAAGGUAGACGAUUAAUAUUACAACUCAUCAUAAUUAUCCACAUCAGGACCAUCAUCAUCGUAAUCAAUCACCGGCCUUGCUGGGUAUCAACGCAUCAUCCAUAUAUCCUCUGGCCUUGCCGAGUAUGAGUAUCACAAUAGUCAUUAUCGAAUAUCAUACGCUAAAAUACUCAUAAACAUAAUCAUAUUACCAUAGAAUAUCUAUCUAGUCAAUACUUCCCAAUCACUCGUUAUUAGUUAAACAGAACUUAUUAUAAUAGAAUCACUAGUUCUCUAGUCAUCACAUAACUUUUAAUUAUGAUCCCAAACCUUAUCCUUCACAUAAUCCUUAAUUCACAGGAUAACAACUAACCACUAUUUAUUUAACAGUCAACAUCUAAUAUCUAGUCAAGGUUCAUCACUAGACCAAAACCGUCAUUUAUCCACCAUUCAUUAUUAUCAACUACUCAUCCUAUAUCGGUUAAUCAUUACUAGACAACACAUUACUACUUGUCACCCAACCAUCUUUAUCAACAGACAUUAUUCCUUAACUAACCAUCAUUAGUUACUAUGUUUGAACUAAGCAAGAUUCAUUAACUAAUACAUUGGAUUCUUAACCAUCAAGUGCUAUAAUCCCCUAAUAGACAACUAGUUACCGCAUAGCUUAACCGUCUAACAAGAAGAGCAGUCAUAAGAUCACAUUUCAGCUAUAAUCACAUCAGUUAUAAUGGUAAAUAAUCAUGAACGUGCCAAAUCUAUGCAUGCCAUUAUCAGUAUUCUGUCACAGAAGGCUUCAUAGAUUAAGAGUUAUACUCACCUAAAAUAUUAAAAUAAAUAUUAAGAAUUAUCAAGGUGUUACAUAUUCAAUUAGUGGAAUAAAAAAAAAGUCAUGUUGCAUCUUCCUUCGUCCCAUACCGGAGAGAUGAGUAUACACACAUAUAUAUAUUUAUAUUCAUAAACUGUAAUCAUAUUGUUUAUAAUGAUAAACACUUCUCGACUAUACGAUCAAUAUCAUAACAUGUCCCUUGGCCCAUUAAUCUAUCCAAAAUAAUCACAAAAUCAUAAUCAUGGUUUUAUGCCGAUACACACAUCCAAAACUCAUAUCAAUAAUCAUAUUUAUAAGUCGUAGCAUAUCCCUAAACAUCUCCUAUAUAUGAGACAUCUUACAUAUAGGAGGCAUAAUACAGAUAGACAUGUAAUUGUCUACAGGAUAUCAUAUAUCAAUAGCUCAUACAUCAUGACAAUGGGGAAUAUCACUUCUCUAGGCCAAUUUACAUAUUCAAGAGGAACAUAGUCUUUAUAGGACCAACAAUCAUGACUAAGGAAAUAGCAACUCUAUAGGCCAAUCAUCAAGUCUAAGAAGAGAUAACAUCUACGUAGGCCAAUCAUCAAGUCUAAGAGGAAAUGACAACUCUAUAGGACAAUCAUCAAGUCUAAGAGGAAAUAACAUCUCUAUAGUCCAAUCACUUCCACAAGGAGUAUCAUAACCAUAAAUCAAAGCCACAAUUCGGGAACAUCAAUACUAGUUACCAAGUAACCUUAUUCUAAGGUUUACUAGCCUCAUCUAUGUCUAACAUCCACAACUAAGUCCACAAGACUUAACACAAGCUUAGACCUAAGUGGAUCUAACGAUCUCACUUCUAAUCCACAAUUUUCAUAAUUAGGCAUACUAUACCCCAAACUAGGUUAAGGUAUCUAGUUCAUCUUCUAGAUAUCAAGUAAGUCAUAUUCAAGCCUAAGAUAGCAACUUUGACUAGAAAAAAGGGCACUCAAGUUAACUCUACCCAACUUACGGUUUCAAGACUACCACACUAGCCCAAUAAGAUCAAAUAUUCAAAUCAUGUUGGAACAACACUAAAACCACAUCUAUAAUCUAGAAAUGUAUCAAAUACAUGCUACAAUUUAAUCUAAACUAGGGAGAAGGCAAUAUGAGUCUACAAGGUUAUAAACAUACUAUCUUACGGGUCCAAGACCCUCAUCUAACUUCCCAAAACAUCAAUAAUCAAGGCAAAGCUAUAUUACUCAUAAUCAAUCCUAACAUCCAUAUUCACACGCAACAUAUAUCACACAUCAUCUAUGCAGAAAAGUAGACAGAAGCCUACCUCAAGGACAAACCGCAAAACCUCACUUUAUGCACCACAUGCUCAUCUUCACUUUACAAUCCUAAAAAUAUCGUCACACUAUCAGAAUAAUAAUCUACCCAUUAAUACGAUUCUAAUGAUACCCAUAUUUCACUAUUGUGCUCUGAGUCCCAAAACGACACUAAAACCCCAAGUGGAUCCCACAUAUGAAAAACUCUGAAGCCAACCCAAUGUUCAUAUGUGAACAAGGAAUCAUAAUCCUCAAAUAAUGGGUAAAAAGUAAGCAUACCUUGGGCUAAAAUCAAGCCCUAAGUUAAAUAGGGAUUUUGGGACCAAAUGAAGAAAUUCAAGCAUGAAUUCAAGAAAUUUUUACCUUGAUCUUGAAGAUAAUUGUGAUACAAGAUGAUAACUAAGCUCCCAAGUCACCCCCCAUGACCAAUUUUGAGUAAUUGAAAAGAUACUACAAACCAACUCAAACUCUUAGCACGAUACGAAUGAAAAAAUGAAGGAUUCCUAAGAAUGUCACAUAGCCUCCCGAAGAUAGGAAACGAACGUCAAAGUUUCGAUCUGUAAGACUCUAUUAGACAUUUGCUCUUGUAUCAAUAAUAUCAGUGAAACCUAGGAUCUGAUACCAAUUUGUCACGACCCAAUUUCUGAGUCAUGAUGGCACCUACCACAUCCCACCGGUAAGUAAGCCGAUACCAUAAUCUGGAGCUAUUACAAUGGGUUAACUUGGUAAGAACAUCCAACUUGGACCCUAUAUGUGAACACAACAUAUAGCAAUAACAUUUCACAACUAAGGACAAUCGAUAUUUAAACACAAAUUCCACGACCUGAUAGUAUUAAUACAAGAGCUUCUAAACUUGACAAGAGGACUUUACAAUCUCAGAAUCUAAAAUGCCUAAAACAACCUCAUACAUUUGUCUCGAAAGCAAAAGACAAAUAAGGAUAGAAGGGAUAGAGGGCAACUCGAUCCCCAAGAGCUCACCCUGUCUCUGAAUAGUCAACUCAUACGAACUAGCUCAACGGCGGCAACUAGAACCUAGGCCUGUACCAAAAAUGUACAGAAGUGUAGUAUGAGUACCAAAACACUGGUACUCAGUAGGCAUCAUCGGCCGACUGAGCUCAAAUAUAAUGUAAAGACGAUAUAAAGAAAGACAAUGAUCUUAAAGUCAAGGGAUAGGGUCGUACCUGAAUCUACUUUGAUACCACUGUAACAAUAUCUAUACUAUUAAAGCAAUAACAAGACAUACUAUUACAAUAUACUCCAUAAUCACCAUAACAACUGAGUAUUAUUUCGAAAGCAUACAACCAUAUACACAAUAGCAAAACAUCUACUUGUCAUAAUCAUCAUCAACAAUCUUUAGAACAUACACACAAAAACUUACCACGACAUCCCAUACCACCGGGAAGUAGACGAAAAAGAGCAAAACAAAGAAAUUGUCACGGCGUCCCAUACCACCGGAGAGUACAUAAAAGAAUACAGCUAACAAUACCAUAAAGCACAACUACUUCAUCAAUUUAUCAAAAACUGCGGGCAACACAACCCCGCCAUGACUCAUUACCAAAAUCCACUUCUAAGUACCCAUACCAUAAUUCAACAUAAAUAAAACAACAUUGUCAUAGCAUAGCAUCUAAUCAUUAGUUCUAUAAUUCAUUGAUAAAUACCGCAUGGUCCAUACUAAUUAACCUUAUUUUUUUCAAAAGUCAAAAGAUUACAAGUCUUAAAAUCACUAGUCAUCAAACUGGGGAAAAAAAACUACGAACCACCCACAGUAUAGGUUAUUCAACUAUC
rnacentral:lncRNA from 1 species